rnacentral:rRNA from 1 species
GACGAACGCUGGCGGCGUGCCUAACACAUGCAAGUCGAGCGAGUGAAUCUCCUUCGGGAGUGAAGCUAGCGGCGGACGGGUGAGUAACACGUGGGCAACCUGCCUCAUAGAGGGGAAUAGCCUUUCGAAAGGAAGAGUAAUACCGUAUGUGGUCGAGAGACGAAAGAUUUAUCGCCAAAGGAUCGGCCCGCGUUGGAUUAGGUAGUUGGUGGGGUAAUGGCCUACCAAGCCGACGAUCCAUAGCUGGUUUGAGAGGAUGAUCAGCCACACUGGGACUGAGACACGGCCCAGACUCCUACGGGAGGCAGCAGUGGGGAAUCUUAGACAAUGGGGGAAACCCUGAUCUAGCCAUGCCGCGUGAUCGAUGAAGGCCUUAGGGUUGUAAAGAUCUUUCAGUGGGGAAGAUAAUGACUGUACCCACAGAAGAAGCCCCGGCUAACUCCGUGCCAGCAGCCGCCGCCG